GAUGAACGCUGGCGGCGUGCCUAAUACAUGCAAGUCGAGCGAACAGACGAGGAGCUUGCUCCUCUGACGUUAGCGGCGGACGGGUGAGUAACACGUGGAUAACCUUCCUAUAAGACUGGGAUAACUUCGGGAAACCGGAGCUAAUACCGGAUAAUAUAUUGAACCGCAUGGUUCAAUAGUGAAAGACGGUUUUGCUGUCACUUAUAGAUGGAUCCGCGCGGCAUUAGCUAGUUGGUAAGGUAACGGCUUACCAAGGCAACGAUGCGUAGCCGACCUGAGAGGGUGAUCGGCCACACUGGAACUGAGACACGGUCCAGACUCCUACGGGAGGCAGCAGUAGGGAAUCUUCCGCAAUGGGCGAAAGCUUGACGGAGCAACGCCGCGUGAGUGAUGAAGGUCUUCGGAUCGUAAAACUCUGUUAUUAGGGAAGAACAAAUGUGUAAGUAACUAUGCACGUCUUGACGGUACCUAAUCAGAAAGCCACGGCUAACUACGUG
rnacentral:rRNA from 1 species